CCGGCAGAGCUGGAGGGAGCCCUCGAGACCCAGCGGCCAUGCAUUUCCCACCGCCCUCCGUCACCUACCCCAUUUGGGAUUCAGAGCUGUGUUUCAUCCCUGGGGGGAGGUGGGCACUCUUUGUGCGGAUCCAGCUUCCAGAGCCUCGCCUCCAGGCCCCCAUCUCGGCUGCCUCCUGGGUCCUCUCCCCUCGCCACUGACGGCGGAGCAGGAGACGCGCUGGGGGCUGCCUCUCCUGCGUCUGUCCUGCAGCGCAGCCCGCUGCUGCCCUGAGUCCGGAGCCUGGAGCGGUUUCCUCCCCUCCUCCGGCUGCUUGUCUCAGGUCCCCCAUGUGCGAACCCUGCCUCCUGUGUUGGCAGCUGCUCUGAGGAACUCCCAGGCUGUCUGGCCGGGGGUCAAGUUCGGAUGACGGACAGUCCCUCCUGGAAGGCCGCUCGCCUACUCUCGGGUCCCGUAGCUUCGCCGUCAGUCGCGUGGCUGUGAUCGCUGCGCCUGGUGAACGCACCCCCGGAGCCGUUCUCAGUGUCCGUGGCCUGUCUGUGGCUUCUCCACACUAGAGUUUCUGCCAAAACCAGCGAGGCUCUUGGUGCCUCUCUGCUCUCCCCACCCCAACAGGGAGCACUGGGAACUCCCCGCGAGACGGCCUCCCUGGCCCCCCGUUCUUCUGGGGUCCCUUUUUCUGGGUUUGACACCGGCCCAGGAGGUGUGCUCUAAGCCGCUGGUGGGCCCACCCUCUUUCUCCACAGCCCUGCUCCUUAGCCCAGUCCCUGGGAGGCCACAGGCCUUCCGUGUGAAUUCUGUGACUCUCCACCUGGACAGUCCUGCCGCCCUCUCCCCACCUCCGUCGCUGCUGCUGGUUGUUUUCUGUGAAAACGGCAAUGAGUGGACUCAGUCUUGAACUGGCCCUGAGGACUGGUCAGGAGUUGUGUGGACAAGAGGGAGGGUGAGAGCCGCUGGAGAACUGAAAAUGAAUUUUGUUUCUUUUUAAAGUUUUUUACAUUAGUAAUAAAUGCAGUGGAAACAAACAAACAAACAAGUUCAAAGUCCAGAGAGAGCAAGUGACUGGUGCAGUUUCAAUUGGUCUAGAUUAGAUGAUUCAUCACCAUCAUCCUGGUUCAACAGAACUGUUUUACUAGACACUCCUCUGGGUGGCACAUGGCUAGGAUGAUGAACCAGGGGGCAAGGCACCUAUCUAUAAGGAGUCAUUGCGGAUCACUUCAGGGACCACUUCAAGAUGUUUGGCCAGUGCAGUACCUUGCACAACCUAUCUCCCAGGCACAGAGCAUCCUCCUUUUUGUCCCUGCAAUUCUAGGAAUCCAAGGGAAGUGAGAUGGCCUGUGGAAACUCUGGGAAUCUGGCUUUUCUUGGAAAGUUGGAUUUCUCUCAACACUGCCCCAUCAUCCCUGAUGAAGCAACAAUUGUCUGGAACAAUUUAAAGAGGAAUCCAAGAGAUGUGAGAUAACCUAUGGAAACUGGGGAUCCCUCCUGUUUGGUAUUGGGGACGAACCUGCAGUCUGAGAGAGUGGAAAGAAGGGAGGGGUGCCUCCUGCAUGCACCCUGCAUUCACUCCUACCAGGAGUGGGGAGCGAACCUGCAACCUUUCGGUGUGAAGGCUGACAUUCUAACCAUUGAGAAACACUGGCCAAGGCUAUACCUCACCACGAGCCAUUGCUUCAACUACCACCUCCAAGCUGAGGGCAGCACCUGAAUUUCUGUGGGCCACUCUGCAUGCACCUGGAGGUAAGGGAAUCAAGACUGCUCCUGAGAGUUGAACUGGAUAAAUCCCUACACUGCAGAUGUGAUCAGCCUUUCACUCAUUCAACAAAUAUUUAUUGAGCACCUCCCCUGUGCCAUGUACUAUUGUAGACACUGGGCUUACUGGAAUAAGCAAAACAGAAAAUUCCCGAACAUUCUACUGGGGUAUUGUUGGGAGAGUAUAAUCCUAUAUAAUAAAGGUGUAAUAUGCAAA